GGGGGUGCCAAGGUUUCGACGGAGGUUGGAAACGAAGGUUGCAUGCCGGGGACGCCAGUUGGCCUCGUUAAAAAACUGGCACUUAUACAAACGCCGACAACGACGUUUCGUACGCACUGGCAGCUUAAUUGCUGUCACGUCUUCAGUUUCAUCGCCCGCGUGGCUCUGAAGACGUCAAUUUAGUGGGCUAGCCUGAGCGAGCGCCUGCGGCGCGAAGGCGAAAUCAAAGCAGGCUCGCCUGUCGGAUAUCCUGUUCGUGGGAGCCCCGUCAGGUUAAAUCCAAAACACGGACUACGCAUGUAGACGCCUUGCGCGGAAGACUUUCGGACGCGGGUUCGAUUCCCGCCACCUCCACCA
rnacentral:tmRNA from 1 species